GGCUAACGCUGGCGGCGUGUCUUAGCCAUGCAAGUCGAGCGGACUUAUGGGGUAACUUAUAAGUCAGCGGCGGACGGCGGAGUAACACGUAGCUAACCUACCCUCUGGACGGGGAUAACCUACCGAAAGGUGGGCUAAUACCCGAUGUAGUCAUCCUGUAUAGGGGUGAUGAAAGGUGGGCUUCUGUUUACAAGCUCAUGCUGGAGGAGGGGGCUGCGGCCUAUCAGGUAGUUGGUAGGGUAAUAGCCUACCAAGCCGAUGACGGGUAGCCGGCCUGAGAGGGUGACCGGCCCGAGGGGGCACUGAGAUACGGGUCCCACUCCUACGGGAGGCAGCAGGCUAGAAAUUUGGGCAAUGGGGGAAACCCUGACCCAGUGACGCCGCGUGCAGGAAGGAGCCCUUUCGGGGUGUAAACUGCUGUCGUGGUAGGGAGAAGGGUACUAAGGUGAACAAUCUUAGUACUUGACGGUACUACAGGAGGAGCCCAGGCUAACCUCGUG
rnacentral:rRNA from 1 species